rnacentral:pre_miRNA from 1 species
UUCACUUUUUACUCUUCGUCUUAUUUAAAAAAAUAUUAUUAAUACUUUUCUUUUUAUUAGAUGAUAAAUCAUGAAUAGUACUUUAAGUGUGACUAUUUUUUUAAAAAAAUUUUAAAUUUUUUUAAAUAAGACGGAUGGUCAAACGCUGGACACGAAAAACAAAAG